rnacentral:tRNA from 1 species
GGGUGUGUAGCUCAGUGGUAGAGCGGCUGGCUGCACAUCAGCCGGUCCUCGGUUUAAAUCUGGUCGCGCCUU